AGCAGAACAGAAACAAAGAGCGUGGAGCUGCUGCACUCUUCAGCUCGAGCUCUGAUCUGAUAUUGUGUGGUUUGUUAAAGUCGCGCAUCAUCGAGUGAAAGAUGUUGCUUCUGUCGCUGCUGCUGAUCAUCGGUCCUCUGGUUCUCACGGUGUUUUUCCCGUAUUUCUGGACAGAUCUUGUAUAUCACACAGACCUGUUGCGCAUUUUACUCAAGUUCGUGUCCCGCAGAAGAAGGCGACCCCUGUUUUUGGCUUUGGACCGGUUUUUGGAGCAAGUCGAAACGCGCCCGAACAAGGCGUUUAUCGUUUUCGAGAAUAAACGGUACUCGUUUAAAGACGCAGACCGAGAGAGCAACCGAAUAGCAAACGCGUUACGGGUCGCGUCGGUUCUACGUCCGGGGGACACGGUGGUUCUGUUCAUGCAGAACGAGCCUGCGUUCAUCUUCUGCUGGCUCGCGCUGGCCAAGCUCGGCUGCGCAUGCGCACUCCUCAACAGCAGCAUCCGCGCGCGGAGCCUGAUCGCGUGCGCGCGCUGCUGCCGAGGCGCCACCGUCCUGAUCGCGUCCGAAGAGCUGCAGGGAGCCGUGGAGGAGGUGUAUGAAGACCUCGUGCAGGAGGGACUGACCACGAUCUUCAUCACGGCUGAAGAGCUCCGAUCAUCAUCAAUGAAGAGUUUGAUCCGAGCGGCGCAGGAAUCCUCAGACGCUGAUGUUCCUCAGACGCUCAGAGCAGACGUGUCCUUCACAUCUCCGGCCGUCUACAUCUACACGUCUGGAACCACAGGUCUUCCUAAAGCAGCAGUGAUCACUCAAACACGUCUCCUCGCUGCUCUCGCUGUGCUGGCGUCAAACGGUGUAACAGAUUCUGAUGUGGUUUACGUCACUCUUCCUUUAUAUCACACUGCAGGCUUCCUCGUGGGCUUCAUGGGCUCCAUAGAGACAGGUUCUACUAUAAUUUUGCGCCGGAAGUUCUCUGCGUCUCAGUUCUGGGACGAGUGUCGGGCUCAUAAUGUGACGGUGAUUCAGUACAUCGGCGAGGUUCUGCGUUAUCUGUGUAACACACCGCAGAGAGCGAGCGAUAAGGAGCACGCCGUGCGUUUGGCCGUCGGGAACGGGCUCCGCUCAGACGUAUGGAGGGAAUUCCUCAAGCGCUUCGGUCACAUUCAAGUUCGGGAGUUUUACGCCUCCACAGAGGGAAAUGUGGGUUUCGUGAACUACGCUGGAAAGAUCGGCGCUGUUGGACGGGUCAGCUUUCUGCACAAGAAACUGUUUCCCUAUACUCUCAUUCAGUACGACACAGAGCAUGACGAGCCGGUGAGAAACUCCAGAGGUCUGUGUGUCGAGGUGCCUAAAGGGCAGACCGGGCUGCUGGUGUCCAAGAUUACAGAAAUUGCUCCUUUUGUUGGUUAUGCACAAAAUGAGCAGCAAACAGAAAAGAAGAGGCUGCGUGAUGUUUUAAAGCACGGUGAUGUCUAUUUCAACAGCGGUGAUCUGCUAAAGAUCGAUCAUGACAACUUCAUCUACUUCCAGGAUCGAGUGGGAGACACAUUCAGGUAUUUCCUUAACAUCAUGCUGUCAGAGAUCAGAUUAAGUGAAUAUGCGUGGUGAUUGGUGGAGGCUGAAGUGAAUCUGCGAGGUGAUUGGUGGAGGCUGAAGUGAAUAUGCGUGGUGAUUGGUGGAGGCUGGAGUGAAUCUGUGAGGUGAUUGGUGGAGGCUGAAGUGAAUCUGCGAGGUGAUUGGUGGAGGCUGAAGUGAAUAUGCGUGGUGAUUGGUGGAGGCUGGAGUGAAUCUGCGAGGUGAUUGGUGGAGGCUGAAGUGAAUCUGCGAGGUGAUUGGUGGAGGCUGAAGUGAAUCUGCGAGGUGAUUGGUGGAGGCUGGAGUGAAUCUGCGAGGUGAUUGGUGGAGGCUGAAGUGAAUCUGCGAGGUGAUUGGUGGAGGCUGAAGUGAAUAUGCGUGGUGAUUGGUGGAGGCUGGAGUGAAUCUGCGAGGUGAUUGGUGGAGGCUGAAGUGAAUAUGCGAGGUGAUUGGUGGAGGCUGGAGUGAAUCUGUGAGGUGAUUGGUGGAGGCUGAAGUGAAUCUGCGAGGUGAUUGGUGGAGGCUGAAGUGAAUAUGCGAGGUGAUUGGUGGAGGCUGGAGUGAAUCUGUGAGGUGAUUGGUGGAGGCUGAAGUGAAUCUGCGAGGUGAUUGGUGGAGGCUGGAGUGAAUGUGAAUCUGUGCAGAUGGAAGGGAGAGAAUGUGGCCACCACUGAAGUCUCUGACAUCAUCAGCUUGCUUGACUUUGUAGAAGAGGCAAACGUCUACGGAGUUCGAGUUCCAG